rnacentral:rRNA from 1 species
UGUGUAGGCGGGACUGUAAGUCAGAGGUGAAAUCCCACAGCUUAACUGUGGAACUGCCUUUGAUACUGCAGUUCUUGAAUAUCGGAGGGGUAGCUGGAAUUCGUGGUGUAGCGGUGAAAUGCGUAGAUAUCACGAGGAACACCAGAGGCGUAGGCGGGCUACUGGACGAUUAUUGACGCUAAGGCACGAAAGCGUGGGGAGCAAACAGGAUUAGAUACCCUGGUAGUCC